GCCCCGACGAUGGGAACAAUCCAGGCUGUUGGAGCAGCUCUCCUCCAUGAUGUCAUUCCAGGACCCAGGGUCCCUUCAUCUUGCCACUGCCAUUUGUUGCCAAAGUGGCAGUGUCUCCUGCCCUGCCCCGGACUCCCUGUGUGGUAUGCACAUGCAACUCUGAACAGAGAAAAGAAGAUAGUGUCACAGAAAGAUCCAUAGCUUACCCAGUGGGCAUGGCUGAACCCAGGCAGUCUGGUGCCAGGACCAGAACUCCUCUACCAUUCAGCUAUGCCACUACUUGGUGACACCCAGAAUCUUAUA